UUUUACUCUUGCCCUUUUAUUUUUUUAUUUUUUUCUUCAACCGUAUUUCUACGGUCUAUCCGUUUGUAGUUGUUUCAAAAAGGGGGGCAACACCGAGGUCCCCCCAGACACAGAAAAAGA
rnacentral:ribozyme from 1 species